rnacentral:rRNA from 1 species
CCUACGGGAGGCUGCAGUGAGGAAUAUUGGUCAAUGGUCGGGGGACUGAACCAGCCAAGCCGCGUGAGGGAUGAAGGUACAGAGUAUCGUAAACCUCUUUUGUCAGGGAACAAAGGCGGGGACGUGUCCCCGGAUGAGUGUACCUGAAGAAAAAGCAUCGGCUAACUACGUGCCAGCCGACGCGGUAAUACGGAGGAUGCGAGCGUUAUCCGGAUUUAGUGGGUUUAAAGGGUGCGCAGGCGGUCUGUUAAGUCAGCGGUCAAAGCCCGGGGCUCAACCCCGGCCCGCCGUUGAAACUGGGAGUCUCGAGUGGGAGAGAAGUAGGCGGAAUGCGCGGUGUAGCGGUGAAAUGCAUAGAUAUCGCGCAGAACUCCGAUUGCGAAGGCAGCAUGCCGGCUCCACACUGACGCUGAGGCACGAAAGCGUGGGUAUCGAACAGGAUUAGAUACCCUAGUAGUC